UCCAAUAAUAAUGCAAAAAUCCGGAUCCAUGUUGUAAUUCGUUACUAAUAUCUCUAAGAAAACCCCUAAAAAACAUGGUAAUGAUCAAAAUAAAAGGAAUAUGAAGUUACUGAACUGCCCCUUUAGGAAAAAAAUACUUGUACUUUUAGUGCAAGUAGUCAGCAGGCGGCGAUUCCAAGAAAAGAAGGACGAUGAACCAAAAAUUUGGAGCUGCAAAACAGCCGACGGGGACUCCAUCUCUCGCCUGGUCGUGCGUCGUCGUCAUCGCUUCACUCCUCGCCGGCGCCUCCGUCGUCCACAAUAUCUACAAGCCUGAUCUCACUCUACCACCAGUUGAAGAUGCGGAUGAGGCUAAGAAGAAACAAGCUGCUAAUGCUAGAGAAUGAGUAAUUGCUUUUCGCUGUUGUUUCAAAGGGCAUUGAUUUUUUUCUCUAUUGCUUUCUGUCCUUUCCAUUUAUAGUACUUGCCCGCUUCCUUUGGCUUUCAUUGCUUCUAGAUAUUUGGACACUCAUGAAUUGUUCGACGAAAUGUCCCAAACAAUAUUGAAUUCUUGAAACUUGAAAUGGCUAACCAGUGACUCCUUAUAGUA